CUGACUUUGGCCUGGGCAAGCGAGGGAACGCCAGGAGACUUGCUGGCGGGAGCAGGCUAGCUUGAUACAUGAUAGUCCUGAACGACAACUGGGGAAGACGGACGGACGGGCUUGCUGUAAUUCGCAGACAAGGGAGCUCGGGCAGGAGAUCCACUCCAGCUUCUAGGAACAGCCAGGAAAAGCCGAAGGGCGCCAGGCCCCGCCGGUCAGGUUGCCUGAGAUCUUUUUGCACUGGGUGCUGUGCCCUUGCUCCGCAACUCUCAUCUAAUUUUCCAUUAUUAUCAAUGCCAUCGGUA
rnacentral:lncRNA from 1 species